ACUCGCGGCCUAUCAGCUUGUUGGUGAGGUAAUGGCUCACCAAGGCGACGACGGGUAGCCGGCCUGAGAGGGUGACCGGCCACACUGGGACUGAGACACGGCCCAGACUCCUACGGAGGCAGCAGUGGGGAAUAUUGCACAAUGGGCGAAGCCUGAUGCAGCGACGCCGCGUGAGGGAUGACGGCCUUCGGGUUGUAAACCUCUUUCAUAGGGAAGAAGCGAAAGUGACGGUACCUGCAGAAGAAGCACCGGCUAAUACGUGCCAGCAGCCGCGGUAAUAGUAGGGUGCGAGCGUUAUCCGAAUUAUUGGGCGUAAAGAGCUCGUAGGCGGUUUGUCGCGUCUGUCGUGAAAGUCCGGGGCUUAACCCCGGAUUGCGGUGGGUACGGGCAGACUAGAGUGCAGUAGGGGAGACUGGAAUUCCUGGUGUAGCGGUGGAAUGCGCAGAUAUCAGGAGGAACACCGAUGGCGAAGGCAGGUCUCUGGGCUGUAACUGACGCUGAGGAGCGAAAGCAUGGGGAGCGAACAGGAUUAGAUACCCUGGUAGUCCAGCCGUAAACGUUGGGCACUAGGUGUGGGGACCAUUCCAC
rnacentral:rRNA from 1 species